rnacentral:rRNA from 1 species
GACGAACGCUGGCGGCGUGCUUAACACAUGCAAGUCGAACGGAAAGGCCCUGCUUUUGUGGGGUGCUCGAGUGGCGAACGGGUGAGUAACACGUGAGUAACCUGCCCUUGACUUUGGGAUAACUUCAGGAAACUGGGGCUAAUACCGGAUAGGAGCUCCUGCUGCAUGGUGGGGGUUGGAAAGUUUCGGCGGAUGGGGAUGGACUCGCGGCUUAUCAGCUUGUUGGUGGGGUAGUGGCUUACCAAGGCUUUGACGGGUAGCCGGCCUGAGAGGGUGACCGGCCACAUUGGGACUGAGAUACGGCCCAGACGCCUACGGGAGGCAGCAGUGGGGAAUAUUGCACAAUGGGCGGAAGCCUGAUGCAGCAACGCCGCGUGCGGGAUGACGGCCUUCGGGUUGUAAACCGCUUUCGCCUGUGACGAAGCGUGAGUGACGGUAAUGGGUAAAGAAGCACCGGCUAACUACGUG